AGUGUUAGAUCCAUUAUGUUAACCCUUUAUAGGAUUUCUAACAAUUGUAGAAUUCUUGUCUUUAAAAUAAGUUAUUUUGAAAUAUCAACUAUCAGAUUAGCAGAAACUUCCAAAGAUUAUCCAAACAGAGUUACCGCAGCAAAGCAGCAAUGGUGUCUACUUUAUUUUACAAGUCAAAUAACAUGGGUGGAUAUAAGCCUUAAAACUCUCUGUCACACCAAAAUUCAGAGUUAGAGGAGGAAAACUACCUUCCACAGCUGCAAAAAUGAAAGCCUGAAAUUCUAUUUACAAGAUGACGCCCAGGUCAAUUUGAAAAAAGAAAAAGAAAAACUGAAGAGCAUAUGUUCCACAUUUUGCUAAGGGACACCAAUCAACCCCCUCAACCAUGAUCCUUGGUUCAGUGUCUGCCCGACUCCACCCCAGCAGAUUUAAGUGUCUCUGUGCGACGAGGCCUACACACAUUUCAACAACAUUGCCCCCAAUAACCAUAUUAACAGUUCAAUAACCAUGAAGGGAGAUUUUGAUCAACUGCAGGACUCCAAGUGAUUCCAGAGUUCAUUGAGUAGUAAGUGUUUUUGAGCUUAAGUUGUCUCAAAAUUUUCAAGCAUAUGCCCGAGGUUUUUAGUACUUCAGUUGUUUGUAGUUUGGUUUGUGGUAUGAGCUUUAAAAGGAAGCAGCCUGUGAGAACUAUGUCUUGGAAUGGGCUCUUCUAAUUUUCCUAUGCCAGGGGAUUUAAUAUGGCUCAGGCUUCAUGGAUUAUCAUGGUGGCCAGCUCAGGUUGUUAAUGAGAAUCUGUGAGUAGAAGCAAUAAAGCCGGUAAUAGAUCAGAGAAUGAGGUUCUUGUUCGUGUGUAUGGAAGCUAUAUCCAGUCAGUGGUUCUAUCCUUGAUUGACAGUACUUAGAUUUCACAGCUCUUUUACAUUUGUAUGCUUUGGAAUCUUGUGUCUCUUGCAGGUUGUAUGUCGAUCCAAGGAAAUAAUAUUUUAUAUUAUUUUUA